GUGGGGGAUAUUGCACAAUGGGGGAAACCCUGAUGCAGCGACGCCGCGUGGAGGAAGAAGGUUUUCGGAUUGUAAACUCCUGUCGUUAGGGACGAUAAUGACGGUACCUAACAAGAAAGCACCGGCUAACUACGUGCCAGCAGCCGCGGUAAAACGUAGGGUGCAAGCGUUGUCCGGAAUUACUGGGUGUAAAGGGAGCGCAGGCGGGAAGACAAGUUGGAAGUGAAAACCAUGGGCUCAACCCAUGAAUUGCUUUCAAAACUGUUUUUCUUGAGUAGUGCAGAGGUAGAUGGAAUUCCCGGUGUAGCGGUGGAAUGCGUAGAUAUCGGGAGGAACACCAGUGGCGAAGGCGGUCUACUGGGCACCAACUGACGCUGAGGCUCGAAAGCAUGGGUAGCAAACAGGAUUAGAUACCCCAGUAGUCC
rnacentral:rRNA from 1 species